AUGCACAGUAACGCUGAUGCUUUGUCACACCUUUCACUGUCUACAACUGAGGAGGAAAAGCCUUCCACUCAGGAUCCAGAAGAAGUGUUACAUACAGCACUGGUGGACCAGCUGCUGGUAACAAACGCUGAGAUACGAAAAGAAAUGCGGAAUGACCCGACACAAUCAAAAGUGUAUGACCUCACCAUACAGGUUCCCAUUAAGCUUCAUACUAGAGUGUUAGAGAACCUAUAUGAGGGUCACCUGGGUAAAGUCAAGAUGAACAGCCUCGCUCAGAGCUACAUCCAGGAACAGAGGCAUAAUAAAAAGCUCUCUGAGUUGUGGAAAUGCGAGAGCAGUAGUCGUAUCGGUGCCAAUCCAAACAUCAUGAGCUCCAUCUCUCUCCUGCUGUUUCUGACAGCUGUUUCCUGUGUGAAUUCGGUUGAAUUUACUCAGUCAGAUAAUAUAGUUGUACGAGCUGGGGAGGCAUUUACCAUCUCCUGUAAAUUCUCUGGGUUUUCAAUAUCCAGCUACUGUCCUCGCUGGAUUCGACAAAUGCCAUCCAAGACUUUGGAAUAUAUUGGAUAUGUGUGUGGCAGCAGCUCUAAUGUAAAGGACUCACUCAAGAGUAAAAUCAGUUUCUCUGCAGAUGUCUCCAGCAGCACAGUGUUUUUAAAGGGGCAAAAUUUUCAGACGGAGGACACAGCUGUGUAUUACUGCGCACGAGAGUCACAGUCAUUCAGAUUACUGGUGCAGCUGUACAAAAACCAGGGUUAUAUUAUGUUGAGUUCCUUUUAGUGUGUGUUUAGUCAUAUCCAUCCAUGAACAUUGGACACAGACC